GGGGGCAUAGCUUAAUGGUCAGAGCGACCUGCUUAUAACGGGUUAGUCUGGGUUCAACUCCCAGUGUCCCUA
rnacentral:tRNA from 1 species